GGGAUGAUGACGGUAAUAGGUCCUCACUCACGUUAGGUAUACAAUUAUUUUCCUUCUGCCAUGCGUCUGUGAAGGUAUUUUCCAUAAACUUAUUUUGGCUCAGAAUAACCUUUUCUGAUAUGAUCACAUAUCUGUGGCUUAAAGAGAAACAGAAGGCUCAGAACCAUAUCCCAUAUCUCUGGCUGACUGAAGAGACCUCCCAUGCGGGCCCCCAGCAACCCAGCCAUCAGGAGAGGGUGUGUCCGCAGCUGUACAGGAUACGAGGCUGUAGUGUCAAGUGUGUGAACACCUGUUGUAGAGGUACCCUGCUUGGCUUCCUCCGUAAAGAGACAUCAGUCAGCGUCUCAUACCUGCUCCCUAUCUUAUGCCCAUAGUAUGACGCGUCAGAGAAGCCUGCCAGGAAACCUGCCCGCUUCCUUUGUGA
ensembl:lncRNA